rnacentral:lncRNA from 1 species
CUCUCGGAGGCGUGGUCGUGGGGGCCGCUGUCGCUGGGAAACCCUACUUGAAACGAUACAUCCCGCUUUGAGCAGUUAAUUUUUGUUCUAGUAUUGGGGAUUUGAAUUUUGCAUUUCGUUUGGUCUUUUCGUGAUCUUCAAUUAAUUAAUUGAUGGUUUAAUGUUGUUUUAGAGGUGCAAUUUUGAUAGUCAUUAAGCUAUAUCUGGUGCUGAAAUUUGAGUCUUUGGCAUAAAAGGGGCACACUUGUUUCUCUGUAGUGAGAGUAUAUGAUAUCUAUGUUUUAUCUCUUUGGAUGUAAUCUAUCUAGUCUUGUAGGAUGAGAAAUCAGGUUCCUGAAUAAUGCCCAGGAAACAUUGGCUACUGCUAUCCUUAAUAUUCAUUUUCAUAUAUAGUUGUUUACUCUUUUUUUUUGCACAUUCCAUUGAAUUGAUGUAAGUAACCACUUGUUCUACUUUUUUAGGUUGUUUAUUAGGGAAUUGUAUGUACAUGUAGUAAGGUAGCUGAUGGACAGACAUGUUCGAAGUUAUGCAUCUUCAUCUCUUGUUACAACUACUAUAUGUGAUUUUCCUCAUCCUCGUAUGCUUAUGUGCUACAUUUGUAUGAAGACUGGAUCAUUUGUAUAAGUUUUUGUGUUUAUGUGCAUGCUACGCAUAAUUAGCUCAACAAUUUCACUCCAUCAUUAUCACUGGUGUGCUAUUUCUGAAUAUAAGGUGGUUUUGGGGAUUUAAGUUAUUGUGCAUAAUCUCUGAUGUGGAUUAUUGCUCAUUAACUUAUAAGCAUGCAGUCCUCUGUUCAAGUUGUGUGACUACAUAUUUUCAUAUGUGGCUAAUGUUAAUAAUCUGACUGUUGGGUAUUCGAACCUCCGUGCUCAUUAGGGCCUGUUAUCUAUCUAUCUAUUUGUGUGUUUGUGUUGGAUUCUACUGGAAAUGAUGGUAUAAUCAAGUUCUGUUUCCAUUUUUCGUGGCUGGCUCUAUAAGCAAGUCUAGAUACAUGAUUAUUUGUGUGUUCUUGUUGGAGUCUACUUGAAAUGAUGGUAUAGUCAAGUUUUGUUUCUGCCAGUAGUUGUCGUUGUUGUACCUUAGUGUUGUAGUAUCAUGUUAUGAAAUCCAUAGACAUCCAACUGGAUGAGCCUUCGUAAUAACAUCCUCUUUUGGACUUGUUUUAGAACUACUGUUCUGUAUGCAAAUGCACAUACAAUCUUGAUGAUCACGGUGAUCGUUGUAUUAGGUGUGGUGGUUCCUCUGAUGAUAAUACUUGGUUAAAAUUUGUGUUACGGCUUGCUGUUUUCUUGCGAAUUCCAUCAACCUUUCCUAGCUGAAUGCUGUGAUAUGAUUCUUGUCAGGAAAAUGUUAGAUGUGUUGAUGUGUGGAUCAUUGUACAGUGACAUUCUUACAUCUCAUUUUAACUUCGACAAAUCCCUUGUGAAUUUAUCAGUAUUUAGUA